rnacentral:lncRNA from 1 species
GGAGAUGCCCCAGUAGUUAAGAGCACUAGCUGUUUUUCCAGAGAAUCCAGGUUCAAUUCCUAGCACCUACAUGUGGCUCACAACCAUCUGUAACUCCCAGGGGAUCCAACACUCUCUUCUGGUCUCCUUGGCUAUUGCACACAUAGACAUACACACAGGCAAAAUGGACAUACACAUGAAAUAAAAGUUAAAAAAGAGCACUAGGGCAAGAAAGAGAUAUAAAUGACAUCUAAAUCCGAGAGGAAGAGGAAAAAUUGUUCCAGUUUGCAGCUGGCAUGAUUCUGCAGAAGGAAACAUGAAAGUUUGAUAGAACUAAUAAAUGCAUCUGAUACAGUUGGCACACACCAGACCAACACACAAAGUCAGCUGCACUGUGGGCAAGCAGUGCUGGAGGUCAAUGCCAGAGCCUUAUGAAUGCUAGGUAAGUGCUCCCUCUGUCACUAUGCUUUUAUCUCCACUUCUUUUUUGAGACAGGGUCUCUCUCUGUGUAGCCAUCACUGGCUUGCAUCUCACUGUGUAUACCAGGAUGGGCCAAAUUCACAGAGAUCGGUACGCGUCUCCUUCCAGGUGCUAGGAAUAAAGGUGUGUGCCACCGUGUCUGAUUUAUACACAGUUCUGCUUAUGGUAGUCUUAAAAGAAUCAGAGACGAAUUUAACCAGGGAAGUGAGAGACCCAUAUGCUGAAAACAAUAAAUGUUG